rnacentral:rRNA from 1 species
GCCGCGGUAAUACGUAGGGUCCAAGCGUUAAUCGGAAUUACUGGGCGUAAAGCGUGCGCAGGCGGUUGUGCAAGACCGAUGUGAAAUCCCCGAGCUUAACUUGGGAAUUGCAUUGGUGACUGCACGGCUAGAGUGUGUCAGAGGGGGGUAGAAUUCCACGUGUAGCAGUGAAAUGCGUAGAGAUGUGGAGGAAUACCGAUGGCGAAGGCAGCCCCCUGGGAUAACACUGACGCUCAUGCACGAAAGCGUGGGGAGCAAACAGGAUUAGAUACCCUGGUAGUCCACGCCCUAAACGAUGUCAACUAGUUGUUGGGGAUUCAUUUCCUUAGUAACGUAGCUAACGCGUGAAGUUGACCGCCUGGGGAGUACGGUCGCAAGAUUAAAACUCAAAGGAAUUGACGGGGACCCGCACAAGCGGUGG